ensembl:lncRNA novel transcript
UCUUGCUGCUCAGCUGAAUACAAGGCCUCAGUGGUUUGCUGGGCUUUGGUGAGAUCUUAAAGGCAAACCUCUCUUGGCGCAAGGAAGGAGCCAUGCAGUUGUAUCUGUACUCGAUGUCCACAGCCAUCAUGGGGCUAGAUGAACAGGCUAGAACCGUGGAAAGGGAAGAGAAGAAAGAAAACAGUGGAGCAAUCAGAUCAGACAGAUGUGUAAAGGCAUCAUUCCAGCAGGGACUGGCAAACAAUAUUUCCUUUUAUCUAUGCCCACCUGGCUACAGGUCCACGUAUGCUCAGAUUCUCUUCUGCCUCUGCCGCCCUGAGACAGCAAGACCAACCCCUUCUCCUCCUCUUCCUCCUCCUCAGCCUACUCAACGUGAAGAGGAUGAGAAUGAAGACCUUUAUGAUGACCCGCAUCCACUUAAUGAAUAGUAAAUAUAUUUUCUCUUUCCUA